CCUACGGGAGGCAGCAGUGAGGAAUAUUGGUCAAUGGGCUUACGCCUGAACCAGCCAAGUCGCGUGAGGGAAGACUGCCCUAUGGGUUGUAAACCUCUUUUGUCAGGGAGCAAUUGGCGCUACGUGUAGCGUUAUCGAGAGUACCUGAAGAAAAAGCAUCGGCUAACUCCGUGCCAGCAGCCGCGGUAAUACGGAGGAUGCGAGCGUUAUCCGGAUUUAUUGGGUUUAAAGGGUGCGUAGGCGGAAUGCCAAGUCAGCGGUAAAAGCGCGGGGCUCAACCUCGCUCCGCCGUUGAAACUGGCGUUCUUGAGUGGGCGAGAGGUAUGCGGAAUGCGUGGUGUAGCGGUGAAAUGCAUAGAUAUCACGCAGAACUCCGAUUGCGAAGGCAGCAUACCGGCGCUCAACUGACGCUGAGGCACGAAAGCGUGGGGAUCGAACAGGAUUAGAUACCCGAGUAGUC
rnacentral:rRNA from 1 species